rnacentral:rRNA from 9 species
AACAAGGUUUCCGUAGGUGAACCUGCGGAAGGAUCAUUGUCGA